CACGGUUGGAUAGGAUUCGUCCCUGUUACGUGUGCGGAUUUUGUGGUUUUGCGAAUUUUUUUUAAUUUUCGAAAGAGUUUUUCGUGUCCUAAUUGAAGUUGUCAUCCGUCAUUCUUACACAUGACAAGUUGUAGAUGGAACUGAAAACUGUCUCCAAGCAGGUGCCCCACAUUAAUCUCUGAGCUAGCAUUGGACAUUUAUAUUUAAUGUUUCUUACAACCUAGUUUCGAAAACAACUCAAGUUCCAUGGCGCACGGGAAGACACAUGGACUCCCACCCAUGUAGGAGCUAGUGGAUUGGCAGCUCCAAAAAACUUCACCGGAAUGACGGCAUCCGACAGGCGACAUGUAUAAUUUACAAGAUUAACGAUACAAAAAUUGAUUUCAAUGCCAUUAAAAAUGUCGAAAAUAAUCUGAGA